rnacentral:lncRNA from 1 species
CUGGUACCAGAGUCAAAAUAUCUAAAAUAUCAAGCAUGUUUUGGGUUAAAAUGUUUAACCCGUUCUUUCCGCAUAAAAUUUUCUGAAAUUCAUGCUUAGCCCUCUACACGCACACUAUCAAUAAGAUGGUUGAGAGUAGAUUGCAAGGAUGCUAUUAUUGUAUCUGGUUUGGGUACCAUUCAACUUGGAUCGGACCGUAUAGGGUAUUGGGUCCAAGUUUUCAACUAGGAACUGUAAGAUCUGAUGGGUCUACAGGUCUUAGCUUGGAUUGGGUAUAGAUUGGAUUAAGCCUAGAUCCUGGUACCUAACAGACGUACUUGUCCAAAACUACAGAUAAUGAGGAGAAGAAAAAUGAGAUAAUAAUAAAAGAAUAUUAUUGGUGAGACAAUGGUGAUCGAAAUUAAGUUUUGGUCUGCAGGUGGUACAAGUCGGGAAGGUGGAAAAACUUAAGUUUAUCAAUAUAUUUAUGAAGUAUGAGUCAGAAUAAAAUUUAUAAACUAUAUUAUGUAAUAUAUGGUAAAUUAUCAAAUCUGAGUCAAGUGUGGUAUGUGUUUACUAGACUUGGAUCCAGAGUAGCAAAACUUGAGGGAAUAUCUUACGACUCAUGCCUGAUGUAACGCCCACAUUUUCUAGAUCGCGUUCAAGUCAUAUAUAGGUGAGUUCCAGGUCAGGGUCGAUCAGGUCUAUUAGUCCAACCGACGGCCUUAGUAGGUUGUAGGUCUGCUAGUUAGUUUUUUUGAACUUUCGCAAGAUAUGGAGUUGGGAUGGCAAAAGCUUAAACUUAUUCAACGAUGCCAGGGA